UACCAGCACCCCGAGUGGUCGGGACGUUUAUUGGGCCUAAAGCAUCCGUAGCCGGUUCUACAAGUCUUCCGUUAAAUCCACCUGCUCAACAGAUGGGCUGCGGAAGAUACUAUGGAGCUAGGAGGCGGGAGAGGCAAGCGGUACUCGAUGGGUAGGGGUAAAAUCCAUUGAUCCAUUGAAGACCACCAGUGGCGAAGGCGGCUUGCCAGAACGCGCUCGACGGUGAGGGAUGAAAGCUGGGGGAGCAAAUGGG
rnacentral:rRNA from 1 species